UGGGGAAUAUUGCACAAUGGGCGCAAGCCUGAUGCAGCAACGCCGCGUGAGGGACGACGGCCUUCGGGUUGUAAACCUCUUUUGGCAGGGAAGAAGCGAAAGUGACGGUACCUGCAGAAAAAGCACCGGCUAACUACGUGCCAGCAGCCGCGGUGAUACGUAGGGUGCAAGCGUUGUCCGGAAUUAUUGGGCGUAAAGAGCUCGUAGGCGGUUUGUCGCGUCUGCUGUGAAAACCCGAGGCUCAACCUCGGGCCUGCAGUGGGUACGGGCAAACUAGAGUGCGGUAGGGGAGAUUGGAAUUCCUGGUGUAGCGGUGGAAUGCGCAGAUAUCAGGAGGAACACCGAUGGCGAAGGCGGAUCUCUGGGCCGUAACUGACGCUGAGGAGCGAAAGCAUGGGGAGCGAACA
rnacentral:rRNA from 1 species